GCAGAACAAUUUGUUAAGGGGAAGUUUGC
rnacentral:piRNA from 1 species